rnacentral:rRNA from 1 species
CGGGGUGCAGCAGGCGCGAAAACUUUGCAAUACACGAAAGUGUGACAGGGUCAUCCCGAGUGCCGACCGCUGAGGUUGGCUUUUACCCAGUCUAGAAAGCUGGGGGAAUAAGGAGAGGGCAAGUCUGGUGUCAGCCGCCGCGGUAAUACCAGCUCUCCGAGUGGUGUGGACGUUUAUUGGGCCUAAAGCAUCCGUAGCUGGCUGAACAAGUCCCCUGUUAAACCCACCGAUUUAAUCGUUGGUCUGCGGGGGAUACUGCUCGGCUAGGGGACGAGAGAGGCAGACGGUAUUCCCGGGGUAGGGGUGAAAUCCUAUAAUCCCGAGAAGACCACCAGUGGCGAAGGCUGUCUGCUAGAACGCGCCCGACGGUGAGGGAUGAAAGCUGGGGGAGCGAACCGGAUUAGAUACCCGGGUAGUCCCAGCUGUAAACGAUGCAGACUAGGUGUUUGGACGGCCGCGUGCCGUUCUAGUGCCGCAGGGAAGCUGUUAAGUCUGCCGCCUGGGGAGUACGAUCGCAAGAUUGAAACUUAAAGGAAUUGGCGGGGGAGCACAAG